CCAUUGGCGAGGUAUGCACAAGUACAGCAGAUGAGAAGACAUCCAAAUAUGAAAAGGCUGACCAAUUAGAGAUGGAUGAUGGGGAAGCUGAAUCAAGUCACUCAAAGGAGAAAAUAUGCGGAGGUGCAGGUUCGCCGGGUAAAAAGAGGGGAAGACUGAAACUAAAGAAGUUGCCAUUAAGCAUUUGUAGCUCUAGGGAUAAAGCAAACCCCAAGGAUGAUAUUGUUCCCAGAAGUUCCCCAUUGACUGACAAGAACAUGGGCAAUCCUACAACUCGCAAUAAGCCAUUGUUUUCUAUGGAGCCUUCAGCUGAUAAUCUGAUGCCAAUUGAUGUUGCACCCAUGCGGAAAUGCCAGGAGUUCAAGGCACCUGCUUGUGUUAAGCAGAAUAAAGUGAUACAGUCAUAAUUGUCAAAUCCUUCUGGUAGAAGUUGAUAGCUGAGGUAGAAUUCGUGAUGCUCUUUUUCUUUUCUUUUCUUUUUACUUUUUUUUUAGUAGGAACGGCA
rnacentral:misc_RNA from 1 species